UACAGAGGUCCCAAGCGUUGUUCGGAUUCAUUGGGCGUAAAGGGUGCGUAGGCGGCGCGGUAAGUCAGAUGUGAAAUCUCGGAGCUUAACUUCGAAACUGCAUUCGAUACUGCCGUGCUUGAGGACUGGAGAGGAGACUGGAAUUUACGGUGUAGCGGUGAAAUGCGUAGAUAUCGUAAGGAAGACCAGUGGCGAAGGCGGGUCUCUGGACAGUUCCUGACGCUGAGGCACGAAGGUCAGGGGAGCAAACGGG
rnacentral:rRNA from 1 species